rnacentral:tRNA from 4 species
GGAACUGUGCCUGAAAUAAAGGACCACUUUGAUAGAGUGAAUCAUGAGGGUUAGAACCCCUCCAGCUCCU